CCAUCUCGGGGUACUGAGCAUAAUCAAACUGCGAAUGUCACGCCAACAUGCUCGGCAGUCAGACAGCGGGUGAUAAGGUCCGUUGUCAAGAGGGAAACAGCCCAGACCAUCAGCUAAGGUCCCAAAAUGUAUGCUAAGUGGAAAAGGAUGUGGAGAUGUACAGACAACUAGGAGGUUGGCUCAGAAGCAGCCAUCCUUUAAAGAGUGCGUAACAGCUCACUAGUCGAAUGACUCUGCGCCGAUAAUUUACCGGGGCUAAGCAUACUACCGAAGCUAUGGAUCCCAAGGGAUGGUAGGGGAGCGUUCCAUGAACGGAGAAGUACGACCGAAAGGACGUGUGGAGAUCAUGGAAGAGAGAAUGCCGGUGUGAGUAGCGGAACGUGGGUGAGAAUCCCACGCACCGAAAACCCAAGGUUUCCAGAGGAAGGUUCGUCCGCUCUGGGUAAGUCGGGACCUAAGGCGAGGCCGAGAGGCGUAGCCGAUGGACAACAGGUUGAGAUUCCUGUACCGCGUAUCAUCAGAACUGUGGGGACACAGAAGGACAGCCAAACCCGGGAAUGAGAAGACCGGGGCAAGCACAGGAGGAGUUAAGCUAGUAAAUCUGCUUAGCAAUCCAAAGGUGUGACGCGGAGCGAACAAAAGUAGCGAAGUUGGCGAUUCCGGCUGUCGAGAAAAGCCGCUAUUGUGUGAUACAUGCCCGUACCGUAAACCGACACAGGUGGAUGAGGAGAGAAUCCUAAGGCCGGCGGGAGAAGCAUUGUUAAGGAACUCGGCAAAAUGACCCUGUAACUUCGGGAUAAAGGGUGCCUGCGCAAGCAGGCCGCAGAGAAUAGGCUCAAGCAACUGUUUAGCAAAAACACAGGUCUAUGCGAAACCGAAAGGUGAGGUAUAUGGGCUGACGCCUGCCCGGUGCUGGAAGGUUAAGAGGAGAGGUUAGCGGUAACGCGAAGCUUUGAAUUUAAGCCCCAGUAAACGGCGGCCGUAACUAUAACGGUCCUAAGGUAGCGAAAUUCCUUGUCGGGUAAGUUCCGACCCGCACGAAAGGCGUAAUGAUUUGGGCACUGUCUCAACAAUGCACCCGGUGAAAUUGAAAUACCAGUGAAGAUGCUGGUUACCUGCGCCAGGACGGAAAGACCCCAUGGAGCUUUACUCCAGCUUGAUACUGGGAUUCGGUAUUGCAUGUACAGGAUAGGUGGGAGGCUAGGAAAUGGUAACGCCAGUUGCCAUGGAGCCAAUGUUGGGAUACCACCCUUGCAGUACUGGGUUUCUAACCAGCAGCCGUGAUCCGGCUGGGGGACAAUGUCAGGUGGGGAGUUUGACUGGGGCGGUCGCCUCCGAAAGGGUAUCGGAGGCGCUCAAAGGUUCCCUCAGAAUGGUUGGAAACCAUUCGAAGAGUGCAAAGGCAGAAGGGAGCUUGACUGCGACACCGACGG
rnacentral:rRNA from 1 species